GUUUACUGAAGUUUUCUAAGGGAGGCUGUCUCUUAUACCAAUGAGGAUGAGCAGGUCACCUGCCAGAACAAGCCCAGAGGUGGCCUUACUUGGGGUUUGCUGAUCAAUGACUCUGGAGCUAUGAGAACUCAGGGUCCUGGACUGAGUCACUCGGAAGUUGGGCUGUGUGGCUCCGCCCUGGGUUCCAGCAUCGUGCUGUGAUUUACUGUCCCUGACUCAACCUCCCCAAAGCUUACUUUCUUUUCCUCAGCCUGUGAUGGCCAAAAUCGAGCUGUUGGCAAAUCACAGUUCACACCCCAACUUUUCAGUCUUUUAGUCUCUAAUUCUUGCUGCUUCACUUCAGAGUCCAAGAACAACAGUGUAAUGAUUCAUCAGUCCCCGCUUCCUGCAAGUAAUCAUUUUCCCACGCUCAGUCUGGUCUGUGUGAUGCAGUUUUCUCAUCGAGUUGGCUCUGUUUGGGAAGCGGCAGCCACUACCUCCUGCAGAAGCUCUACCGCUUUCACACAAAUGAGCGAGGAAAAUCUCUGCCAAUGGAAAUAAAUCUACGAGGAACCGGAAUGAAAAAAGGAGAGGUGAAAAGGGAAGAGUCUUGAGAAUUAGAAUGAUACCAAGCACCUCGUGCCUCUCUCAGCCUCUCUACAAUGAAAUGCUUCCAAACCCCUGUGACACAUUUGUGUGUGUGUGAGAGUUCAUUUACUAAAACUGUUUAUUGGAGCCCACAGUUAUGUCUUGCAUAAAACAUGAAAAAUUCAGUGAGGAAAAUAAAAGUCAAGAAAAUCAAAUCGGUGGGAAUAUG
rnacentral:lncRNA from 1 species